rnacentral:rRNA from 1 species
AAUGAACGCUGGCGGCAGGCCUAACACAUGCAAGUCGAGCGCCCCGCAAGGGGAGCGGCAAACGGGUGAGGAACACGUGGGAAUCUACCAAAUAGUUCGGAAUAGCCUCGGGAAACUGGGAGUAAUACCGGAUACGCUCUACGGAGGAAAGAUUUAUCGCUAUUUGAUGAGCCCGCGUCUGAUUAGCUAGUUGGUGAGGUAAUGGCUCACCAAGGCGACGAUCAGUAGCUGGUUUGAGAGGAUGAUCAGCCACACUGGGACUGAGAUACGGCCCAGACUCCUACGGGAGGCAGCAGUGAGGAAUAUUGGACAAUGGGCGAAAGCCUGAUCCAGCCGUGCCGCGUGUGUGAUGAAGGCCUUCGGGUUGUAAAGCACUUUGAGUGGGGAAGAUAAUGACGGUACCCACAAAACAAGCCCCGGCUAACUCCGUGCCAGCCGCCGCCGUAA